rnacentral:tRNA from 1 species
UGGGACUGUAGCUCAGCUGGUUAGAGCGCACCCCUGAUAAGGGUGAGGUCGGAGGUCCCA